GUGCUUGCUUCUGCAGCACAUACACUAAAAUUGGAAAGAUACAGAGAAGAUUAGCAUGACUCCUGCACAGCGAUGACCCACAAAUUCAUGACGGGUCCCAUACUUUU
ensembl:snRNA U6 U6 spliceosomal RNA